rnacentral:rRNA from 1 species
AGCGAACGCUGGCGGCAGGCCUAACACAUGCAAGUCGAACGAAGUCUUCGGACUUAGUGGCGGACGGGUGAGUAACACGUGGGAACGUGCCUUUAGGUUCGGAAUAACUCAGGGAAACUUGUGCUAAUACCGAAUGUGCCCUUCGGGGGAAAGAUUUAUCGCCUUUAGAGCGGCCCGCGUCUGAUUAGCUAGUUGGUGAGGUAAAGGCUCACCAAGGCGACGAUCAGUAGCUGGUCUGAGAGGAUGAUCAGCCACAUUGGGACUGAGACACGGCCCAAACUCCUACGGGAGGCAGCAGUGGGGAAUCUCGCGCAAUGGGCGAAAGCCUGACGCAGCCAUGCCGCGUGAACGAUGAAGGUCUUAGGAUUGUAAAAUUCUCUCACCGGGGACGAUAAUGACGGUACCCGGAGAAGAAGCCCCGGCUAACUUCGUGCCAGCAGCCGCAGUAACAC